CCUACGGGAGGCAGCAGUGGGGAAUAUUGCGCAAUGGGCGAAAGCCUGACGCAGCGACGCCGCGUGAGGGAUGAAGGUCUUCGGAUCGUAAACCUCUGUCAGCAGGGAAGAACGGUCACUGUGCUAAUCAGCAGUGAAUUGACGGUACCUGCAAAGGAAGCACCGGCUAACUCCGUGCCAGCAGCCGCGGUCAUACGGAGGGUGCGAGCGUUAAUCGGAAUUACUGGGCGUAAAGCGCUCGUAGGCGGUAUGUCAAGUCAAGGGUGAAAUCCCCGCGCUCAACGUGGGAACUGCCUUUGAAACUGGCAAACUGGAGUGUGUGAGAGGAUAGUGGAAGUCCAGGUGUAGGAGUGAAAUGCGUAGAUAUCUGGAGGAACAUCAGUGGCGAAGGCGACUAUCUGGCACAUAACUGACGCUGAGGAGCGAAAGCGUGGGUAGCAAACAGGAUUAGAUACCCCAGUAGUC
rnacentral:rRNA from 1 species